rnacentral:lncRNA from 1 species
AGCGCCGCCCCCACCAACCGUCGAGCCGCCCAGCUGCACCACCUCCCUUCCCUUCGCAGCCCCCAAGGCCGAGCUCGAGUGUCAGGAUGCGGAGACGCACAGUCAUGCAAAAGGGGCCCAAAGUCAAGCACGGCAGAGGCAGCGCGAGCGCCGCUCUCGCAGCGGCCGCCUUCCUGCGGCCAAGGCCUCUACGUCGGAUGGUGUACGCGAGACGAAGGUGCGAGCGAGAACGCCGGGCGGGACCACUCUGAACCUGACCUAUACUGUCGGGGUCUGUUUCACCGUGGUCUGCUG